AUGCAAGUCGAGCGAGAACCUUCGGAACAGAGAUUCGUCAAAGGGAAGAAGGGGAAAGCGGCGGACGGGUGAGUAACGCGUAGGCAACCUGCCCUUAGCAGAGGGAUAGCCAUUGGAAACGAUGAUUAAAACCUCAUAAUGCUGAAGCAACACAUGUUGAAUCAGCCAAAGAUUUAUCGGCUAAGGAUGGGCCUGCGUCUGAUUAACUAGUUGGUGAGGUAACGGCCCACCAAGGUGACGAUCAGUAGCCGACCUGAGAGGGUGAUCGGCCACAUUGGAACUGAGACACGGUCCAAACUUCUACGGAAGGCAGCAGUAAGGAAUCUUGCACAAUGGGGGAAACCCUGAUGCAGCAACGCCGCGUGAGUGAUGAAGGCCUUAGGGUUGUAAAACUCUGAUCUGGGGGAAGAAGAAAGUGACGGUACCCCAGGAGAAAGCCCCGGCUAAAUACGUGCCAGCAGCCGCGGUAAUACGUAUGGGGCAAGC
rnacentral:rRNA from 1 species